rnacentral:antisense_RNA from 1 species
CUUGACGGAUCCGAGCCACAGCGGCCGGUCGGCCGGCCGGUUCUGGCCAUACGUGGCGAUCAGCGCCUGCGCCUC